GAUGAACGCUAGCGGCAGGCUUAAUACAUGCAAGGUUGAGGGGCAGCAUGAUAUACGCGAGUAUAUUGAUGGCGACCGGCGGACGGGUGAGUAAUAGGUAGGAGACCUACCUCAUACAGGGGGAUAGCAUAGAGAAAUCUGUGGUAAUACCCCAUGAGGUUAUAUGAAUAGAGGCAUAUAAUCAAAGCAUAAGCGAUUAUGCGGUAUGAGAGGGGCCUACUGACCAUUAGCUAGUUGGUGAGGUAAGGGCUCACCAAGGCGAAGAUGGUUAGGGGUUUUGAGAGAGAGACCCCCCACAUUGGAACUGAGAGACGGUCCAGACUCCUACGGGAGGCAGCAGUAGGGAAUAUUGGGCAAUGGGCGAAAGCCUGACCCAGCCAUGCCGCGUGAAGGAAGACGGCCUUAUGGGUUGUAAACUUCUUUACUACGCGAAUAAAGGUUAGUACGAGAUACUAAUAGGAAGGUAGUGUAGUAAAAAGCACCGGCUAACUCCGUG
rnacentral:rRNA from 1 species